GUGCUUUGUUCGGGAUCGAUCCUGUGGCGAAUGGUAUUCAGCGUUUCGCACAUCAAGACAGGGAGAGAGGGGGAAAAACAUUUUGUCAAUACUGUAAUGAUUGAGACAGAGUAGAUGGACAAGAUGCGUUUCUAUAUUAUAGGAAAAACUCGAUGAGAAACGACCAACUAUGGGAGCCUGAUUUGAGAUGUUCUUCUGUUGUUGAUUGCUCAACAUUGAGAGAUAUUUCAAGGGCUCAGAGAGCUGACUGAGGAGAAGUCUUUUGAAAGAGCAAAGCCCGAUGACCAGGCGAAGGAAAUCAAGGCUCCCUAGUGUGUCGCCUUAGCAACGGGGGGAAAAUUAGCAUUGACUUCCGAGCAAGCCUACAAAACUAGGCUUCAGGGUAUUUUUUACAUCUUGAAAAGUGACAAUCAAAGAAGAUCUAAAGACAUGCUUCCACUUCCAUUUAUAUUGAAAUCAGCUUCUUUCUUUUUUCUACUGCCUGAACACAAAAAGUCUUAAUGUAUGUAUUUUUGCUCAUUUUACUGUGUUGUGCUGUUUCCCCACGAUGCCCCCUUGCUCAUGUUUGCCUCCCACUGUGGCAAACAGAACACGUCUAUGAUAGUGAAUGCAUUUCUGAGCACUUCCCCACAUGAACUAGAGCUGACACUGGCUUCCUCAUUCACAGGCAUGGAAUUCAGCUGCCAUGAUUGCCAACACGUUUAAUGAUAGCAUCUCCAAGAGUCACAGAAGUAUCACACUGAUGCUCCAUCUCUCUCUCUCCCUCUCUUCAUCACAUUGUAGGAAAUUCAGUGGUGUCCAAACUGCAGAACCCGCAACUAAGCCCAUCAGGAGCUGUUAUUCAGAGAAAUGAAGUGCAGAUUGUUUGUGCCGAAGCAUGAAGCAACUUGGUGUAUCCCCUCAUCACAAACAAGCUACACUGCCAUGUAGGAACAAGCAGGAAUACAUUAAAAGGUAAUGAGAGAUCAGUCAGAAGAGGGUCAUGCAGGGGCACUGUUUGGCAUGGCUGUUGCUGGAGAGAGCUUUCAGAGUGAUGGCCUUGUUGUCUCUGUUGAGGAGCCAGAAGGGGUGGAGUUCAACAACGUUCCUCAUGGCAACAGUUGCUAAGCCUCAUUUCUUGUUGAUGUGGUUAUUUGUAAAUCAAACUGGGUGUAUAAGAUUAGCAAGUAUUGUAUAUAUGUGUUAUUUCGCAGACAAAUAAUAAUUUGAAUAAACAUUUUCAUUCAAGACCAUUCA